UCUGUGUGAGAGGGGCAAAUGGGGACACCUGUCGCACCCACAGUGGGUUGUGGGUAUCACGCGUUCCGUUUUUUCGCAGCGCGUCUCUCUGCUUUUUGAAACACGCGACACUUUGUUUUUUUUUUAAACUAAGCCUCCUUUUGGGUUUGGUCUCUGUUAUUAUGAUUACAGGUUUUGGGCUUCUUUUAUGUUUUAAAAUAAGCCCACUUCUGUGAUACACCUUCUCACCGUUUAGGUUAUUCUUCGUUUCAUCUUCCUGGCGACAUAAAUCUGCAAAACGUUAAAAAAUCAUGCUGAAUCCAAGCGUUCAUAUUAACUCAAUCAUUAACAAUAGUUCCCACUCCUCACAAGAUUCAUCAAUGAAUACAUCCUCUCUUUACUCCCUUACUCUCAGUCUUCAACUAUAAAAAGAUAUGACAGUGCAAAAGCUGCUGAAAUAUUAGCCAAAGAUCUGUUAAUUUUGGCGUUUAAAGAAUAAAUUUACAGAGAGAUGAAAUCAUUCAAUUUAUGACUCGAGAUUAACUUUACCUUAGGGGAAGGUCACCGGCAUCACGAUGGACAAACGGUGGUGUUACGUCUCUUGCUCCAGGUGUACGAAGAAGCUUCAACGAACUGUCUCAGCCUUUACUUGCUUGACCUGCAACAACUCUAAUGAUGUUGGUGUCCUCCCAGUAUUUUGUUAUUUUCAUUCAAAUGCACUUCAUGUCCACACACACAAAGAUACAACUUACUUUGAUACACUUUAUCUGACUUC